AUUGAACGCUGGCGGCAGGCCUAACACAUGCAAGUCGAGCGAGUGGCGGACGGGUGAGUAAUGUAUGGGGACCUGCCUGAUAGAGGGGGAUAACUACUGGACACGGUGGCUAAUACCGCAUACUAUCGGAUGUACCCAUAUGGGAUUAGCUAGUAGGUGGGGUAACGGCUCACCUAGGCGACGAUCUCUAGCUGGUCUGAGAGGAUGACCAGCCACACGGGGACUGAGACACGGCCCAGACUCCUACGGGAGGAAGCAGUGGGGAAUAUUGCACAAUGGGCGCAAGCCUGAUGCAGCCAUGCCGCGUGUAUGAAGAAGGCCUUAGGGUUGUAAAGUACUUUCAGCGGGGAGGCGUUACCCGCAGAAGAAGCACCGGCUAACUCCGUGCCAGCAGCCGCGGUAAUAC
rnacentral:rRNA from 1 species